rnacentral:lncRNA from 1 species
CUGGACCCUGUAGGCGGAGUGGGGAAGAAACGCUGCAGUGUCGACGGCAGAAGCAGAUCCAGCGCGCAGGCUGGUUACACUCCAGCCGCCGCAGCGGCAUCGCCACCAUCAGGGGCUCCGCCGGAGUAAGAUUCGAGCCCGGAGCCAGCCGCCGCCACCGCAACCUGCGUUCUUGUGCUGCUGUCACCGCGCCCUUCCGCUCCUUUGCCGGCGCCAUUGCUCCCUUUCGUC